UACCAGCACCCCGAGUGGUCGGGACGAUUAUUGGGCCUAAAGCAUCCGUAGCCGGUCUUGCAAGUCUUCCGUUAAAUCCAGCUGCUUAACGGAUGGGCUGCGGAAGAUACUACAAGACUAGGAGGCGGAAGAGGCAAGCGGUACUCAGUGGGUAGGGGUAAAAUCCUUUGAUCCAUUGAAGACCACCAGUGGCGAAGGCGGCUUGCCAGAACGCGCUCGACGGUGAGGGAUCGAAAGCUGGGGGAGCAAACCGG
rnacentral:rRNA from 1 species